rnacentral:lncRNA from 1 species
UCAAUUGUCUAUACUCAUAUCAACAAAACAAUUUUAUCAUUGAAAACAUAUUUCUGAAAUCAGCACCUGUUAAAUCACUGGUGGACUAACAUGAAGAUUGACCCUGAGUUCAAGUGACAAACCCUUAGGUCUUUAUUGUUCAACUUUUGGAUGGCCUUUAAAGCCAGUUCUUUAGUUCUGAAAUUAACAAAAGCAUACAGCUUGUUAUCCCCCUUUCC